AGCGCAGAAGGAGGCGCGAUCGUCGCGCUCUCGCGAGAUUUUGAUGAGUUUACUUGAGUAAAUGCCACGUCUUCCCAGUAGCAUCAACGCAGACAGAAGCUUAAUCAAACAUAUUGCACCCAGGAGGACAGAGAGUUCUCCAGCGGCCCAGCAGACACUGCUAUCUCACACAAUCCGGGGAUAAUAUGGGCUGUAUACGUCUGCUGGCACUGACGCUGGCCACAUCUGCAGUACUCCUGUUAGCCUCCCAUUCCACAACUGCCCAUAGCCAUUCCCAUGGCGACCAUGACCAUGGCCACGCCCACGGCCACCAUCAUCAUGGACACUCCCACGGAGAAGACGAGCACCAGGAAGAAGUGAGGAUGUUCCACGGAGCGAGCAAGUGGAGCGCUGAGGCCAACCUCCCUCCACUCGAAGAGGAGCACCACGGACACGCACACGCUCAUGAUCACGGGCACGCACACGCUCAUGAUCACGGGCACGCUCAUGAUCACGGGCAUGCUCAUGAUCACGGGCACGCUCAUGAUCACGGGCACGCACACUCUCAUGAUCACGGGCACGCGCAUGAGGAGGAUGUGGUUCGGGUGCACAAGGAGGAGAGUGGACACGGACACACCCACGGAGGGGAGAGGGUGAAGAGGGAGGCAGAAGGAGAGAAGAGGGACAUGGUGGAGCUCUGGACACAGGCUAUCGGAGCGACCCUGCUGAUCAGCGCUGCUCCUUUCCUCAUCCUGUUCCUGAUCCCAGUUCAGUCCAACAGCGACCAGCACCAGAACCUGCUCAAGGUGCUGCUCAGCUUCGCCUCAGGCGGACUGCUGGGCGACGCCUUCCUCCACCUCAUACCACACGCUUUGGAGCCCCACUCUCAUCACGGAGAAGAAGAUCAUGGACACUCGCACGCAAGUGAAGAGUCACAUGACCACGGUCACUCCCACGGCGCCGCCCACGAUCACACGAUGUCGGUGGGCCUCUGGGUUCUCGGUGGGAUCAUCGCCUUCCUGGUCGUAGAGAAGUUUGUGCGGGCGCUGAAGGGAGGGCACGGCCACGGACAUUCCCACAGCCACUCACAUGCUGCUCCCAAGGAAAAGGACAGUGAUGGAGAAGAAGAGAAGGAAAAGAAGAAGAAGAAAGGGGAGAAAGACGAGGCGGUGCCAAAGAAAGAGGAGACGAAGAGCACAGAUAUCAAGGUGUCAGGUUACCUCAACCUGGCGGCCGACUUCACUCAUAAUUUCACCGACGGCCUGGCGAUCGGAGCGUCGUUCCUGGUCGGCCCGGCGGUCGGAGCCGUCACCACCCUCACCAUCCUGCUGCACGAGGUCCCGCAUGAGAUCGGGGACUUUGCCAUCCUCGUCCAGUCCGGCUGCACCAAAAGAAAGGCCAUGUGUCUACAGCUGCUGACAGCCCUGGGAGCUCUGGCCGGCACAGCUUGCUCCCUGUUGGCCGAGGGCGUGGGCGCCGCGGCGACCGCCUGGAUCCUGCCGUUCACCGCCGGCGGGUUCGUUUACAUCGCCACCGUCACCGUGCUCCCAGAGCUGCUGGCGGGCCGCACCAGUUUCGGCCAGUCCGUCAUGGAGAUCCUGGCCCUGCUGUUCGGAGUUGGCAUGAUGGUGCUGAUCGCCGAGUACGAGUGAGACGCAGCGGAGAGACAUAGGGGGGGAAAAGGUCAAAAAGCGGUUGAAAAAAAUAAUGCUGGUUUUAAGUGGAUUAUUAUUUGUCGAAGGUUUUUUUUUUUUUAUUAAUUCUGUUUUGGGAAAAACACCACCUACUGAUGGCGAAUGGAUGAUUUUGGUUGUCCUGUGUUUUUUUUAGAUUUGUGUUAAUGUUUCUUUUUUCGGCUUCUUAAAAACUGUUGGGCGGGAGAGACUGAGAGCUGGAGAGAAACCUGAGGGAAAAAGUUUUUGAAGACUGCUGUGUUGUUCAUCAGGACAGGAAGUGACAUCUUUCUGUCCGCCGGUCCCCACAAUUCUCUCGCCACUUUUCACUACACGGAUCAAUCAGCUACACUUUUACUGCGACGUAAACUGACGGCAAUCUUCCGGACCAUAACGCCAAAUCAUGACGCCAAAUCAUUUUGCAGGUGGUUGGUCGGUGAAAGAGCAGAGAAAUGACGGUUCUGACUCAGCUGUUCUCACUACGUUUAAUGUCUGUUUCAUUUGGAGAUAUUUGAAUGUUGAUAUUUUUUACAUUCCACACAAUAAAGGUAAAUGUUGUGGCUUCUA